GUGAGUCAUCGAAUCUUUGAACGCACAUGGCGCCUUCCAGUAUCCUGGGAGGCAUGCCUGUCCGAGCGUCGUUUCAACCCUCGAGCCCCUGUGGCCCGGCGUUGGGGAUCUGCCACGGCAGGCCCCUAAAACCAGUGGCGGACCCGAAGGGCCCUCUCCUUUGCGCAGUAGCAUUCGCCUCGCAUCGGGAGUCCUCGGCGUCCUGCCUCUAAACCCCCCACAAGCCCGCCUCGGCGGCACCAAGGUUGACCUCGGAUCAGGUAGGAAUACCCGCUGAACUUAAGCAUAUCAAUAAGCGGAGGA
rnacentral:misc_RNA from 1 species